CAACUUUCAGCAACGGAUCUCUUGGCUCUCGCAUCGAUGAAGAACGCAGCGAAAUGCGAUAAGUAAUGUGAAUUGCAGAAUUCAGUGAAUCAUCGAAUCUUUGAACGCACCUUGCGCUCCUUGGUACUCCGAGGAGCAUGCCUGUUUGAGUGUCAUUA
rnacentral:rRNA from 2 species